rnacentral:lncRNA from 1 species
CGGGCUGGCAGCCGCCCCCCGCCGCCGUCCCCACGCGCGUGGAUUAUUUCUGCCUCGUCACAUCCCUCCCCGCUGCCCGCUCCCCGCCAGCAGCGCGGCUCUGCCUGCGCUUCCCCGCUCGCGCGGUGCCGGGGUCGGGCAGGAGGGUCUUUAGGAUGUUGCGUGGCCUUUCGGUCCCUGCGAGGGUGAGUUGCGAGAGGAGUCGAUGCCUCAGACACUCGUGGACACGGAAAUGCUCACAGACGAGCUGUGGCCCGUGUGGCUGCUCUUGGGAAGGGCACGGUGUCCCCAAAGCCUCAAAGUGGGCUGAGUGAAACCAUCAUCAAGCGCAGGGACCACUAAUUACUGGCUCCGUGCUGGAAGCCCGAAGAGGUGACAAGGCCUGCGAAGAGGUGACAUCCUGCCCCAGAAACCGGCUCAAGAAGCAGGAAAUCUGCAAAAACCUGUGGGCACCGGGGGAGAAGUAAAGGCACCAGGGGGAGAUCGCAACCACCGACUCGCCUGGAGGGGGCUGGUGCACCCCACCCCCCCUCACCGUGUGUGCAGAACCCCCGCUCCACCUUCUCCUUGUCUCUCAUGGAAACGAGUCUGUGGAAUACCUGCCUCUUCUUGUCUAGCAUGCAAAUCAACUGAUAAAAUGAAUUUAAAAGGCGACAGAAAACUUUGCUGUUUCCGCAGAUCACCGGACCUGAGACAACGCUGGAUCCUCGGGUGGUGACCAGAUUUCACUGACUCUUUUUCUCCUUCCUUUUUCUUUCCUUUCUUUCUUAUAGAUUUAUAAGAAACCACAUCGCUUAUGAUCCUUUUCCAGCUUUAAGUUGUUUCUACUGCAAGUAAAACAUUUCAACUGGUCGUUUAGUGUCAUUUCACCUUAAUUUAACCCGAGGGGAUCACAGAACCUUUACGAAUUCCCAGGCUCCCAGUCCAGGCUGUGACAGCAAUGGAGAGCGUGGGGCAAGAAGCCACGUUGGUGCAGCUGGGUGGCUCCUCCAGAGCUCGGCAGGGCCUGCUGGCCCAGGGGACGGGAGCCGGCCCCGGCCCCAGCAGCUCAGCUCGCCCUCAGCCAGCCCCGGUGCCCCCCGGGGAAGCUCGGAGCAGCCCCAAGGCUCUGCCAGGGCACCGCGUCGCUCUUCUGCUCUGCAUGACCCUGCCUACGGGAAGGGGGAACUAUCACCCCUCAAAAUGGCUUUUAUCCCCUUUUUUCCACCCUGUCCAGGCCGUGAGCAAGAGGAGGCGGAGAAAUGGAGACCCAGCGCUGAUGGCAGGGACUGGCAGAGCCUCGCCGUGGGAGGAGGGGGCCCGAGGAGCCCGCCCGGCGCUGGCAGCACUUUUAUGUAUGCAGCUAGAAACCCUCCCUGCCUGCUGACAGCUGCACGGGAAGACUUCGGGGAUGUUUAUGGGUUUUUUUUCCUCUCUCAUUUUUUCCUGUGGCGGCUGGGGCCUGUUGUUAAGAUAAAUCAGACUUCAAACAACAAUCCCCACGUUCUCAGACUGUGGAUGUUUAACUCCGCUUUCGGAGGGGGCGUUUCAUGGUCUGUGAAGGAAGGUGGGUCCGUCUCUCUCUGGUCUCCAGGUCCC